rnacentral:rRNA from 1 species
CCUACGGGAGGCAGCAGUGGGGAAUUUUGGACAAUGGGCGAAAGCCUGAUCCAGCAAUGCCGCGUGAGUGAAGAAGGCCUUCGGGUUGUAAAGCUCUUUUGUCAGGGAAGAAACGGUGCGGGCUAAUAUCCUGCACUAAUGACGGUACCUGAAGAAUAAGCACCGGCUAACUACGUGCCAGCAGCCGCGGUAAUACGUAGGGUGCAAGCGUUAAUCGGAAUUACUGGGCGUAAAGCGUGCGCAGGCGGUUUUGUAAGUCUGUCGUGAAAUCCCCGGGCUCAACCUGGGAAUUGCGAUGGAGACUGCAAGGCUAGAAUCUGGCAGAGGGGGGUAGAAUUCCACGUGUAGCAGUGAAAUGCGUAGAGAUGUGGAGGAACACCGAUGGCGAAGGCAGCCCCCUGGGUCAAGAUUGACGCUCAUGCACGAAAGCGUGGGGAGCAAACAGGAUUAGAUACCCUGGUAGUCCACGCCCUAAACGAUGUCUACUAGUUGUCGGGUUUUAAUUAACUUGGUAACGCAGCUAACGCGUGAAGUAGACCGCCUGGGGAGUACGGUCGCAAGAUUAAAACGUCAAAGGAAUUGACGG